GACGAACGCUGGCGGCGUGCUUAACACAUGCAAGUCGAGCGGAAAGGCCUUUCGGGGUACUCGAGCGGCGAACGGGUGAGUAACACGUGAGUAAUCUGCCCCAUGCUUUGGGAUAACUACCGGAAACGGUGGCUAAUACCGGAUAUGACAGACUGAUGCAUGUUGGUUUGUGGAAAGUUUUUUCGGCGUGGGAUGUGCUCGCGGCCUAUCAGCUUGUUGGUGGGGUAAUGGCCUACCAAGGCUUCGACGGGUAGCCGGCCUGAGAGGGUGACCGGCCACACUGGGACUGAGACACGGCCCAGACUCCUACGGGAGGCAGCAGUGGGGAAUAUUGGACAAUGGGCGGAAGCCUGAUCCAGCAACGCCGCGUGAGGGAUGACGGCCUUCGGGUUGUAAACCUCUUUCAGCACAGACGAAGCGCAAGUGACGGUAUGUGCAGAAGAAGGACCGGCCAACUACGUGCCAGCCGCCGCCGUAAAAC
rnacentral:rRNA from 1 species